rnacentral:rRNA from 1 species
GACGAACGCUGGCGGCGUGCUUAACACAUGCAAGUCGAGCGGUAAGGCCCUUUCGGGGGUACACGAGCGGCGAACGGGUGAGUAACACGUGGGUGACCUGCCCUCAGCUCUGGGAUAAGCCUGGGAAACUGGGUCUAAUACUGGAUAUGACUCCACGGUGCAUGUCGUGGGGUGGAAAGCCUUGUGCGGCUGAGGAUGGGCCCGCGGCCUAUCAGCUUGUUGGUGGGGNGAUGGCCUACCAAGGCGACGACGGGUAGCCGGCCUGAGAGGGCGACCGGCCACACUGGGACUGAGACACGGCCCAGACUCCUACGGGAGGCAGCAGUGGGGAAUAUUGCACAAUGGGCGAAAGCCUGAUGCAGCGACGCCGCGUGAGGGAUGACGG